AUAAAUGGAACUGUGAAUUUGUCAAUGUGCCAAACCGAAUCAGCAAAUAUGAAGCCUAGGCGCAAAUUCAAACUGGAAGACUCUUUAGCCCCACCUGCAUCAUCCAGUCGGCGCGUCCCGCUCAUCACCACCGACCUAUCAACGCUGGACCAAGCCACGUCACGUCCAAUCACCGACCAAGGCCCAGUUGAUAAGGACCUCCAUCCAUGGCAUCUUCCGCUUUCCAGCUGCGCUCAACCUGUUCAGCCGCACGCCUCAGCUCCCAGCCAGCUAUCUCGCCAGAUCCAUUUCUCCGUGAUUGCUCGUCCUUCCACCUCUAAUGUCCCUCAUAAAAGCCGCUAAGCCGCUUGCUCGGCCCCUUCCUUCCCUCAGUCGCUCCUCAGAUGGAAGAAGAAUCCCCCCGGCCCCAUUCAGUCUAAGCAGCUUCUGCCGCCGCUCUCUCGCCUGACCGGGAUCCACCGUCUCUGGCUCCCGCGUCACC